GUGGGGAAUUUUGGACAAUGGGCGAAAGCCUGAUCCAGCCAUGCCGCGUGCAGGAUGAAGGCCUUCGGGUUGUAAACUGCUUUUGUACGGAACGAAAAGACUCCUUCUAAUAAAGGGGGUCCAUGACGGUACCGUAAGAAUAAGCACCGGCUAACUACGUGCCAGCAGCCGCGGUAAUACGUAGGGUGCAAGCGUUAAUCGGAAUUACUGGGCGUAAAGCGUGCGCAGGCGGUUAUAUAAGACAGAUGUGAAAUCCCCGGGCUCAACCUGUGAACUGCAUGUGUGACUGUAUAGCUAGAGUACGGUAGAGGGGGAUGGAAUUCCGCGUGUAGCAGUGAAAUGCGUAGAUAUGCGGAGGAACACCGAUGGCGAAGGCAAUCCCCUGGACCUGUACUGACGCUCAUGCACGAAAGCGUGGGGAGCAAACAGGAUUAGAAACCCGAGUAGUCC
rnacentral:rRNA from 1 species